UACGUAGGCAGCAAGCGUUGUUCGGAGUUACUGGGGCGUAAAAGGGGUGUGUAGGCGGUUGUUUAAGUUUGGUGUGAAAUCUCCCGGCUCAACUGGGAGGGUGCGCCGAAUACUGAAUGACUUCGAGUGCGGGAGAGGAAAGUGGAAUUCCUGGUGUAGCGGUGAAAUGCGUAGAUAUCAGGAGGAACACCGGUGGUGUAGACGGCUUUCUGGACCGUAACUGACGCUGAGACACGAAAGCGUGGGUAGCAAACAGG
rnacentral:rRNA from 1 species